UGGAACAUUAACAGAACAUUCCCACAUGGUACUAUUUUGGUCGUAUCAUAACGUUCCUGAUAUGACUGUAGGAUGACGUUCCAUAUUGGUUAUCCUGUGGUCACAUAAGAACGUUACAGAAAGGACAUUUGGAACAUUAACAGAACAUUCCCACAUGGUACUAUUUUGGUCGUAUCAUAACGUUCCUGAUAUGACUGUAGGAUGACGUUCCAUAUUGGUUAUCCUGUGGUCACAUAAGAACGUUACAGAAAGGACUUUUGGAACAUUUACAGAACCAUCCUACAUGGUCCUCUGUUGGUCGUAUCAUAACGUAUUAUGUUAUACUCUCUGAAUAUAAUGAUGUAGAUUGCAAUGCAUCUUGGAAACAGUAGUCAGUUAACAGCAAAUCGUUCAAUCUGCUUUAUGAAAAGAACUACCUUUCCCAUAAUGCAACAGCUUACAAGAGGACCCGGAAGUCACAUGAAAUUCAAACUGCCACACUUGACGACGCGUGAUCUUUGUUUUGUCUUUAUAUAAUACUGUAAGAAGUCAUGUACCACACAUUGUCAAACCUGAAGAAGUGUAUCUUCCUGCAAUCUGGGUAAAGAAGGUGUAACUUUAACACACAUUAUUUAAAAACAUAAGAGUCAUGUUCAUUAUUUAUCUUUGUGUAAUUUGAUUUAAAUUACAAUAUUGAAUGUAUUGAAUUUGUUAAAUUUUGUAUGAGGUAAUUUCUUGUAUGGGUUAAUUUGCCUAAUAUUAGUAUUAGAUACAAAAGCACAAGUGUUUUGGCUUAAAAGUGACAGCAUGUUUUAAAAAUGUUUCAGGUAGUGGGGCUUGGAUUGUUUGAAGUAGUAAAGAAUAAUGGCAAAUAAUGAAGCAGGCAAUAAAAAAAUACUUGACCAAGAAGUUUUGGAGCUUAACAUUUUUGUAGUUUGUAAUUGCUUUUUUCUUUAAGUUGGUAAUUUGAAAAUCUUUCUGGAAGUCUGAAAUCUUCCUACAUAUUUUUUUCACAUCUCGAUUUGAAUGUUAAAAAUCUUAGUUCUUGGAUUUGUGAUGUUUUGUAAUAUGUGUUUUUGCCCUUACUUAUGCAUUUUAUGUAAAUAUAUUUUUAACUGGAUUUGUAUUUGUAUGCUCUUAUUCUGCAGGCUCCAGACCUGGAGAUUGAAGUUCCUAAAGGUUGAUGUUUAUCAAGCUUGUGACCUUAUCACAUGGUGUUAUUUUUUUACAUUUAUAUAUCUAAUACACAUUUGCACAUCUGUAAACAUAUAUUUAAUAUUUUGUGGGCUAUUUUUUAUUUUAUUUAACCAGUUGUUGUAUAUUGAAAUAUGUUACAUUUUAUGCACUCCAAAUGUAAAUGUUUUGUUUUAAUUGCAUCUUUAUUGUUUAAAACAAUUUAAUUAAUGUGGGUUUUUGUUAGCUUUUAUGUUAUUCUUGUAUUUUUUGGCUAUUUAUUUGUUUUUGUUUUUUAUUAUCCUUCUGUUAAUUUGCCAGAUUUUGACCUUCUAUUUGUUUUUCCUGUAAUCUCACUUCAUUUGGACUUCAUUUCCCAUAAUCCUUUUCACUCUCUCACCUGAACUGUGUAUGUUAUUAUCCUCACCUGACAGUCAUCCCCCUCAUCACUCCAUUGUCUAAAUACCCUGCUUUUCCCUUUGUCUAGGUCAGUUCUUGUUUAUAGUGAUGUGUUGUGUGUUUUGCUGUUUACCAGUUUCCAUGUUCCUUGUUUUAUAUUAAUUAAAGAUUAUCAUUUUGGAUUCAU